CAUCGGUCAACAUAGAAAACAGUAAAGUAGGCUUAAAGUAUUUCUCGCAACUUUGAAAUGUGUUGUAUCCUAACCCAACAGUUAUUGAAUAACAUCGGACAACAUAGAAAACAGUAAAGUAGGCUUAAAGUAUUUCUCGCAACUUUGGAAUGUGUUGUAUCCUAACCCUACAGUUAAUGAAUAACGUCAGACAACACCAAAGUGUGAGUGUUAAAACACGAUAUUUUACAGAUAUAUUUUUUAAGCUUGUUUUAGUUCAGUUUUUGUAUUUAUUUUAUUGUUAGAUAUUUUCCUUGUAUUCCAACUAGUGUAUGAAAGACGUGCCUAUUCCGUUCGUAGGCAGCGUCUCUUGUAAGUUAAGUUUAUCAAAUUGUAUGAUCAGAGUGUACUUUUAUCGUGGAAACGUAGGGCUAAAGCGGUUACUUCAAACUCGGGGUCAGUUUUUACGUAAUAUAUUUGUUUUUCUGUAAGAUCAUUAUGGUGGUAAUUUCAAGUGAAGUAAACACGAGAAAAUAUUUCCAACAAAGUAUAUUGCUCAACUCUUGUAACAUGAGAAAUAAAUGUUAUUAUAAUGAUGUAGAAAAAUGUAUUUAUUUAAUUAAUCAUCCUUAACUCUUACUUUGUUAUUUUAUAUUCUUUUCAACGGCUACUUUAUAAUUGUCCGUAGUGUGGCGCUGUACAACCUGCUUCUUACACAGUCAACGCAAUCUUGCGGGUGUUUCUCAAGAGAUCUUGAAUUCAUUGAAUUUCGAAUAUUUUUCAGAAGUUGAAAAUUAUCGCCGUUAAAAGUUGUAAUCCAUAACGUUAAUACGUUAUGUUCACUGUGUGAAGUUAGACUGACGGUGUUGUUGGAGCUACUUUACAAAUUCAUCUGUGACGUCAUCAUACGUCAGCAAUGGCCGCCGUAACAAAGUGCUAUAUUACCAUUUUGCCAAUGUGUUUAAUAGGCAGUGUGAUGUCAGUGGAUCUUCCAAAAAUCCAGCCUUUCUUCUUUCCAAAGAAUAUCGAACUGGAUACAAAAAUAACUGCCUACUGUGGCUUGUUUAGAGGGGGUUUACCCCUCAGGUUUUCAUGGCUGAAAGAUAACAGAGAACUUAAUUUAUCAGACGACAAAGUUGAUAUUAUCUCGCAGAGUGAUUCCUCAAAGCUACAGAUAAGAAACGUUGGAUCAAAAGAUGUUGGUAAUUAUACAUGUGUUGCCAGAAACUCUGCCGGCUUCGAUAGCUACACAGCUCUUUUGUUGAUGCGAGUUUAUUUUUGUUAGUGUAUUUGACACCGUGUGGCACUACGAUAGAUGUUUGGUACAAGCCUGUUUAACCUGAAAAGUAGUUGACUUGGAGAAGUUUUGUUUCCAUAUAUUAUCUUCAGUCAAGAAAAUCACUCUUUGUACAUACGUUAAUCUGGAAAUAGAAACCAGUUUAAUUUCCCAUUCUACGCUGUUGUCAGCCAGUUGCACCUAUCGACUCCUGAAGUAGCAAGUGACGUCAAAACGACAUAUAAUGGAGGCCACCAGAACAUUUCCAGUGUUGGUAGUAUUAGCAAGUUUAAUUCUCUCUCUCUUUGUACAUAUGUUAAUCUGGAAAUAGAAACCAGUUUACUUUCCCACUCUACGCUGUUGUCAGCCAGUUGCACUUAUCGACUCCUGAAGUAGCAAGUGACGUCAAAACGACAUAUAAUGGAGGCCACCAGAACAUUUCCAGUGUUGGUAGUAUUGGCAAGUUUAAUUCUCUCUCUUUGUACAUAUGUUAAUCUGGAAAUAGAAACCAGUUUACUUUCCCAUUCUACACUGUUGUCAGUCAGUUGUGCCUGUCGACUCCUGAAGUAGCAAGUGACGUCAAAACGACAUAUAAUGGAGGCCACCAGAACAUUUCCGGUGUUGGUAGUAUUAGCAAGUUUAAUUGAACACCCACCUUGUUCAGGUAAGCUCGAAGCAGCCUUAUUUAACUUAUAAUUUAACAUAGAAUCGUCGAGGUGUUCUUUACUACUUGGUGACAUAUUCACUGUCUUCGAAAAUUUAUUUUCGUAUUUGACUCUGACUAAUACUUUUAGUUUAUUGUACAAGUAGGGAUUAUAUAAGUUUUAUAGUCCAGCUAGAAGUUUCAAAUAUUUCUUCACAUCUUUCACAAAAACUCCAAAUAUCCAAUCUUUUGGUUUUCCUGAGAAUACUAAGUUGUACAAAGGAAAUUUUAUUACCCAUGCCCAUUCCUACCUUGUUUCCUCAUUUUUUAGUGCAUUCAUUUCUACGCUUUUUAUUUUCCACUUGGUCAUGCACUUGUUUCAUACUAGAUGACAUGAUCUUAUGUAUCAGUCACUCAUUGGUGUUGAUAUCCUGAAUGUAUAUUAUCAGUGUGGGUGUACAUCAUAAUAUUAUGGUAUGUGUAAAUAAUAGGUGUGCAUUCUCUUCACUUUUGGUGUGUGUACACAUUGUAAGUGUGCAAUGUCGUUUGAGUUAUAGUUGUGUGUAUAUACUAAGGGUUGAUAAAUUAGUUAAUUUAUUUAACUACUUCGUGCUAACACGUUGUUUCUGAGCUAUUGUUCUAUUUGGUGCAAUUAUAACUAAGGUAAGUCUCUUUGUUAUAAACCAGAAGCUUUCAACAAUGUCAGUUGAUGAGAUUGACAAAUUUGUAGUUCUGUGAAUUUUUGUGUCUGCUCUGCUGACUUUCUCAAAUGGUUCUAUGUGGCUUGUUUAUCACCUAAGGAUGUCUCUCAAAUACUUUGGAGAUUUAUUAUUUGGUUGUUAAAGGCGUACGUGAGUAAAUAGUUUGUAUUGAAUGUAUCGGCCCCAUUCCUACUUUAAGUACUACUGUACUUAAGAUAAAUGCUAGUUUGUUGUAAAUAAAGAUCCAAGUGUAUUCUGUAACGACUCAUGAAUUGACUGUUUACAUAAAUGCUGGUUUGUUGUAAAUAAAGAUCCAAGUGUUUGUUGUAAAUAAAGAUCCAAGUGUAUUCUGUAAUGACUCGUGAAUUGACUGUUUACAUAAAUGCUGGUUUGUUGUAAAUAAAGAUCC